rnacentral:rRNA from 1 species
CAAUUGGAGAGUUUGAUCCUGGCUCAGAAUGAACGCUGGCGGCGUGCUUAACACAUGCAAGUCUAACGAGAAAGUCUUAGCUUGCUAAGACGAGUAAAGUGGC